GACGAACGCUGGCGGCGUGCUUAACACAUGCAAGUCGAACGGAAAGGCCCUGCUUUUGUGGGGUGCUCGAGUGGCGAACGGGUGAGUAACACGUGAGUAACCUGCCCUUGACUUUGGGAUAACUUCAGGAAACUGGGGCUAAUACCGGAUAGGAGCUCCUGCUGCAUGGUGGGGGUUGGAAAGUUUCGGCGGUUGGGGAUGGACUCGCGGCUUAUCAGCUUGUUGGUGGGGUAGUGGCUUACCAAGGCUUUGACGGGUAGCCGGCCUGAGAGGGUGACCGGCCACAUUGGGACUGAGAUACGGCCCAGACUCCUACGGGAGGCAGCAGUGGGGAAUAUUGCACAAUGGGCGGAAGCCUGAUGCAGCAACGCCGCGUGCGGGAUGACGGCCUUCGGGUUGUAAACCGCUUUCGCCUGUGACGAAGCGUGAGUGACGGUAAUGGGUAAAGAAGCACCGGCUAACUACGUGCCAGCAGCCGCGGUGAUACGUAGGGUGCGAGCGUUGUCCGGAUUUAUUGGGCGUAAAGGGCUCGUAGGUGGUUGAUCGCGUCGGAAGUGUAAUCUUGGGGCUUAACCCUGAGCGUGCUUUCGAUACGGGUUGACUUGAGGAAGGUAGGGGAGAAUGGAAUUCCUGGUGGAGCGGUGGAAUGCGCAGAUAUCAGGAGGAACACCAGUGGCGAAGGCGGUUCUCUGGGCCUUUCCUGACGCUGAGGAGCGAAAGCGUGGGGAGCGAACAGGCUUAGAUACCCUGGUAGUCCACGCUGUAAACGGUGGGUACUAGGUGUGGGGUCCAUUCCACGGGUUCCGUGCCGUAGCUAACGCUUUAAGUACCCCGCCUGGGGAGUACGGCCGCAAGGCUAAAACUCAAAGGAAUUGACGGGGCCCCGCACAAGCGGCGGAGCAUGCGGAUUAAUUCGAUGCAACGCGUAGAACCUUACCUGGGUUUGACAUGGAUCGGGAGUGCUCAGAGAUGGGUGUGCCUCUUUUGGGGUCGGUUCACAGGUGGUGCAUGCCUGUCGUCAGCUCGUGUCGCGAGAUGUUGGGUUAAGUCCCGCAACGAGCGCAACCCUUGUUCACUGUUGCCAGCACGUUAUGGUGGGGACUCAGUGGAGACCGCCGGGGUCAACUCGGAGGAAGGUGGGGAUGACGUCAAGUCAUCAUGCCCCUUAUGUCCAGGGCUUCACGCAUGCUACAAUGGCUGGUACAGAGAGUGGCGAGCCUGUGAGGGUGAGCGAAUCUCGGGAAGCCGGUCUCAGUUCGGAUUGGGGUCUGCAACUCGACCUCAUGAAGUCGGAGUCGCUAGUAAUCGCAGAUCAGCAACGCUGCGGUGAAUACGUUCCCGGG
rnacentral:rRNA from 1 species